AGCGAACGCUGGCGGCAGGCUUAACACAUGCAAGUCGAACGCCAUCUUCGGAUGGAGUGGCAGACGGGUGAGUAACGCGUGGAAACAUACCUUUUGCUUCGGAAUAUUCCCGGGAAACUGGGAGCAAUACCGAAUACGCCCUGAGGGGGAAAGAUUUAUCGGCAAAAGAUUGGUCCGCGUUAGAUUAGGUAGUUGGUAGGGUAAUGGCCUACCAAGCCUACGAUCUAUAGCUGGUCUGAGAGGAUGAUCAGCCACAUUGGGACUGAGACACGGCCAAAGCUCCGAGGGGAGGAAGCGGGGGGGAAUAUUGGAAAAGGGGCGAAAGCCUGAUCCAGCCAGGCCGGGUGAAGGAUGAAGGCCUGAGGUUUGUAAAUUUUUUUCACGGGGGACGAUAAGGCCGGUACCGGGAGAAGAAGCCCCGGCUACUUUCGUGCCAGCCGCCGCCGUAA
rnacentral:rRNA from 1 species